CUGAGUAGAGAGUCUACAUAUCCAGACAGUCUUUCAGUGAGGUGCCAAUCCCGAGAUGAUGGGGCACUGCACUUUCUGAAA